UCGAAUUAGCCUAUAAGCCCGAAGCCCGAGUCGAUUUUUUGGCCGGUCGGUCGAUCAUAAAUGCAUAUAAAAUAGCCCGACCGGUCGAUUAAAUUUUUGAGCGUAAAAUUGUAAACAUAGUGAAAUAAUUACAUGAACACCGGUCAGUCACUUCGGGUUAAAGGCGUAUCGGUCAAUGGAAGUAGUCGGUACAAAUCGUUAGCCAAUAAACACGUCCGUGUUCCACUCUUACGGGACUCCGGAGAUGGACGUAGUGUUACGAUUGGUCCGUUUGUUCAAAGCGGACAUCGACGUAUGAUGACUCAUUAAAAAAAAAUCCUUGCGUUAAAAUCGCGCUCAAGAUGGCGUUCAGCCAACUUCGAUACCAGAGCGGGGCGUUACCAGACUUCAACACCCAGUGGACAACCCCGCAGAAUCAAGAGAGAAGCCCCAGGAUCCCAAGGGGACUGUAUCGUGGUGUCAGAAGAGGACGAAAAAGAUGUUGCCAGCAACAAGGUGCCAGAGAACUCAGAAUAUGAAGAUGAUGAUGAUGAUGACGAUGAAGAUAUGGAGAUGUCGGCGGAGCAUGCCUUUUCUGUUGUUUUGAAAAAUGAAUAAUAAAUGUUGUAAAUGGGACAGGCAUAUGUUUUUACUCAUUAGAAGUAGUUAUUUCUGAUUAGAAAUGAAUAUUUUUGUUGUUCCUAGCGAAACAUUUAUGUUUACCUUUUCGGGCUAUUGAAAAUGUCUUCGGGCUAUUAAAAAUUCUAUCUAAUUAGCCCGAAGGGCUAUUGGUCUAAAAAAGUUAGCGUGAAGACUG